rnacentral:rRNA from 1 species
GACGAACGCUGGCGGCGUGCCUAAUACAUGCCAGUAGAACGCUGAAGCGAGGAGCUUGCUCUUCUUGGAUGAGUUGCGAGCGGGUGAGUAACGCGUAGGUAACCUGCCUUGUAGCGGGGGAUAACUAUUGGAAACGAUAGCUAAUACCGCAUAACAAUGGAUGACACAUGUCAUUUAUUUGAAAGGGGCAAUUGCUCCACUACAAGAUGGACCUGCGUUGUAUUAGCUAGUAGGUGAGGUAAUGGCUCACCUAGGCGACGAUACAUAGCCGACCUGAGAGGGUGAUCGGCCACACUGGGACUGAGACACGGCCCAGACUCCUACGGGAGGCAGCAGUAGGGAAUCUUCGGCAAUGGGGGCAACCCUGACCGAGCAACGCCGCGUGAGUGAAGAAGGUUUUCGGAUCGUAAAGCUCUGUUGUAAGUCAAGAACGGGUGUGAGAGUGGAAAGUUCACGCUGUGACGGUAGCUUACCAGAAAGGGACGGCUAACUACGUG